rnacentral:rRNA from 1 species
AACGAACGCUGGCGGCAUGCCUAACACAUGCAAGUCGAACGAGACCUUCGGGUCUAGUGGCGCACGGGUGCGUAACGCGUGGGAACCUGCCCUUAGGUUCGGAAUAACUCCCCGAAAGGGGUGCUAAUACCGGAUAAUGUCUUCGGACCAAAGAUUUAUCGCCUUUGGAUGGGCCCGCGUUGGAUUAGCUAGUUGGUAGGGUAAAAGCCUACCAAGGCGACGAUCCAUAGCUGGUCUGAGAGGAUGAUCAGUCACACUGGGACUGAGACACGGCCCAGACUCCUACGGGAGGCAGCAGUGGGGAAUAUUGGACAAUGGGUGAAAGCCUGAUCCAGCAAUGCCGCGUGAGUGAUGAAGGCCUUAGGGUUGUAAAGCUCUUUUACCCGGGAUGAUAAUGACAGUACCGGGAGAAUAAGCUCCGGCUAACUCCGUG